rnacentral:rRNA from 1 species
UGAACGCUGGCGGCAUGCCUUACACAUGCAAGUCGAACGGCAGCACGGGUGCUUGCACCUGGUGGCGAGUGGCGAACGGGUGAGUAAUACAUCGGAACAUGUCCUGUAGUGGGGGAUAGCCCGGCGAAAGCCGGAUUAAUACCGCAUACGAUCCACGGAUGAAAGCGGGGGACCUUCGGGCCUCGCGCUAUAGGGUUGGCCGAUGGCUGAUUAGCUAGUUGGUGGGGUAAAGGCCUACCAAGGCGACGAUCAGUAGCUGGUCUGAGAGGACGACCAGCCACACUGGGACUGAGACACGGCCCAGACUCCUACGGGAGGCAGCAGUGGGGAAUUUUGGACAAUGGGCGAAAGCCUGAUCCAGCAAUGCCGCGUGUGUGAAGAAGGCCUUCGGGUUGUAAAGCACUUUUGUCCGGAAAGAAAUCCUUGACUCUAAUACAGUCGGGGGAUGACGGUACCGGAAGAAUAAGCACCGGCUAACUACGUG